rnacentral:rRNA from 1 species
AUUGAACGCUGGCGGCGUGCCUAAUACAUGCAAGUCGUACGGAAAGGCCCUUCGGGGUACUCGAGUGGCGGACGGCUGAGUAACGCGUGGGAACGUGCCCCAAAGUGAGGGAUAACGCACCGAAAGGUGUGCUAAUACCGCAUAUGGUCUUCGGAUUAAAGCUUCGGCGCUUUGGGAGCGGCCCGCGUACGAUUAGAUAGUUGGUGAGGGAAUGGCUCACCAAGUCGACGAUCGUUAGCUGGUCUGAGAGGAUGAUCAGCCAGACUGGGACUGAGACACGGCCCAGACUCCUACGGGAGGCAGCAGUAAGGAAUCUUCCACAAUGGGGGCAACCCUGAUGGAGCAACGCCGCGUGCAGGAUGAAGGUUUUCGGAUCGUAAACUGCUUUUAUAAGUGAAGAAUAUGACGGUAACUUAUGAAUAAGGAUCGGCUAACUACGUGCCAGCCGCCGCAGUAAGAC